AUCUAUGAUUCCCGCCUAUCUAUGUACAUUGUAAUAUCAAAUAAAACCUUCAAGACGGUCAGUUUUUGAUAAUAUUAAUGUUUCCAAUGAUAUUGUUUUUGUGAUUAGAGCGUAGGCGGCAAAUGUAAAAUUGAAUAAAUAAGUUUGAAUAGAAAUAUUUAAAAGUAGGUCGUAGAAUGUACGACAGUGAAUAUUGCUAAGAUUUAGUCACCUGAGUAUGUAUAUACUGAAAACAUUUAGAAAUAGUGCCAAUUAAACUAACAAAUAAUUUUGUUUUAAUUUGAAGCAUUCUACAGUUUUUCAAUCUUAUUAUGAAUUUUUUACUUUUAAGUACUUUUUUAAUUCAACACUUCAUAAAAUAUACGUUCAUAAUAAAUUAGAUUGAAAAUUCUCUCGUUAGUAAAGUCUUAUUUGUGUAUAUCAUAGAAAGUUGUAGGGAACUACAAUUUAGAAAGUAAGGAUCCAUCAGUGCAUGACCUCAGUGAGAAUUGUUUGAUGAAACUAGAGAACUCUCGACAAAUAACAUUUAAUAAUGCAAUAUUCUAUGAAAAAACCAGAUAUUUUUUAUAAUUUUUUAAAAUUGACUUUUACAUUGACUGUUUUACAAAGUAUCUGAUUCACA